rnacentral:rRNA from 1 species
GACGUAGGGGGCGAGCGUUGUCCGGAUUUAUUGGGCGUAAAGCGCGCGUAGGCGGUCCGGUAAGUCGGGUGUGAAAAUCCGGGGCUCAACCCCGGACCUGCAUUCGAUACUGCCGGGCUGGAGGCAGGUAGGGGAGAGUGGAAUUCCUGGUGUAGCGGUGAAAUGCGCAGAUAUCGUAAGGAAGACCAGUGGCGAAGGCGGGUCUCUGGACAGUUCCUGACGCUGAGGCACGAAGGUCAGGGGAGCAAACGGG